rnacentral:rRNA from 1 species
UCUCUGGUGGACCUGUUGUCCUGCCAAGGGCAUAGCAGGGUAGCUAUAUAUGGAAGGGAUAACCGCUGAAGGCAUCUAAGCGGGAAACCCACCUGAAAACGAGUAUUCCCUUGAGAACCGUGGAAGACGACCACGUUGAUAGGCCGGGUGUGGAAGUGCGGCAACGCAUGAAGCUUACCGGUACUAAUCGUUCGAUCGGCUUGAUCGUUCC